GUAUUAUAGACUUCAAGUGAAGUUGCUCUUGCCUGUUCCUGUCCAUGUGGCAUAUGGGAGUAAAAUGCACAGUUCUGUUCCAUGCUCCUAGACAGGAUGUCUAUCCCCAACCUCUAGAUUAGUGAGGACAUCACCCUGUGUGUAUUCACAGACUUCUCAAAGUCCUUAGUUAGACAAUGACUGCAAAGAAGGCAUGCAAUACACAGAU
rnacentral:snoRNA from 1 species